UACCCCUGACGAUCAUUACUCGAUGCAGGCCCACUAUAAGCCGGAGCUGGUGGGUCUGAGGAGGGCACACGAUUACGGAGGUGUGGAGGAACGUAGGUGGAUCGGGCAGGAGCUGCUGAAGUAGUGCCUACACUUGCAUUGUUAGCAGAAGAACCCGCCGUUGUGUUCUCAGCUGCAGAAUUUGCAGCCAAAUCUGCCCAUGAAGUUCGUGUACUCAUCACAAUACACAAUACAAAAACUUCAACUGCAAAAUCCCUUUUCCCAAACAAAGUAGAAAUAAAUUUACUUCCGACUCCCAAGCAAGCUUUAAGCAGUUCCCCUUACCAAACUUCAAUUUAUCACCGAAAUGAAAAACCUGUUGAAGAAAGAGAAGAAAAACCCUAGAAAUCGAGGAAACUUAGCGAAGACGUUAUGG
rnacentral:misc_RNA from 1 species